UUAAUUUAAUUUUGGUAAAAUGUCAGUUUGUGGCACUGGAGAUGUGUUUUUACACCUAAAA
rnacentral:tRNA from 1 species